rnacentral:lncRNA from 1 species
AGGUGUUUUGGCUAGUAAUUUUGAGAAUUGGGACUUGUUGGAAAGCAAGUAUCCAUCUCUUCUUUGCGCUUGUUGAACCAUGUACCAGUGAAGUCUCUCAUUGCUUCAUCUCCUCUGUGCCAUUUAUCCUUCAAUAGUGCAGUUGCGUUUUCAAUCUUCUGCAAUCUUUCAUUAAGACUCUCAAGGUUGAACUGAUGUCUGGUAAGUGUGGUGUAAGUGUCAGCUGAGAUCUCCUCUCCGUGGUAAGGUGUGUUGGACAUGUCGGAUGUCAUAUUUGGUACUAGCCGUCCUUGGUUUGUGUCACUGUCGAUCGAUGUGUGAUUGUGA